ACAGAGACGCGUAUCCUCCACCCACACAGCUGCAAAUACAUGCACACAUUGCAGCCAGUGGUUUUCAUGCAUCUCAUGUAAAAUCUGUAGCUGAGUCUGCCAUUUCUAAGUUGUGCUGUGGUCCUCGGGUUCAUCUUUUUUUAUUCCUCGUGUUGUGUCUGAUACACAAUGUCGUGGUUUAUUGGCUCUACAGUGGUGCUGGUGACGGCUUUUUGUCUGGCGUUUGGUGAAGACGCAGGGUUAGAAGUCCUUUACCUACAGAAGACUCUCACUCCAGCUAUAGGCUCAUCAGCCACACUAAAUUGUGAGGCACAUUAUGACUUUGAAAUCUGUGGUAUGGUGCAUGCUGUAUGGCAUAAUGUCACCAAUGGAAGUGUUGCACUAACUGACCCCAGGAAGUACUUCACCACAGUGAGUGAGACAGAAGUUGAAGGAAAAAGACGCAGACAGGUCGUGACAGAGAUCCUCAACGUGUCACCAGGGGACUCGGGUACCUUUCAAUGCAAGGCUAAAUGUGACAGGAAUGGAGAGUCAGCGAUGGGUCAUUUCAUCAGGAUUAAUGUCUGAGGUCAAUGAGUGAGCCGGCUCUGUUUUUCAGAUGGAUAAUUUGAUGAUUAUUUUCCAAAAAGCAUUUCAAAAACAACUAUUUGGUUUGAGUGAAUUAAUAGAACAUUUUUUUUAACCAGGUUUUAUUUCACACACAUUUUUAACUUUUGAUGUUUAAAAUUAUUUUAAAUCGAAUGUGCACACUGUAUAAUGACAAAUAAAGGCAUUCGAUUCUAUUCUAUCGAUAGUAUAACUAUCCAUCCUCUGUCUGUAAUCUCUUUAAUAUAUAGUCCUAGUUUUACUAGUCUUUAAAAUAUCUUAAUAAUAAUGCCUUAUAUAGCGCUUUUUCAGGUACUCAGACGCUUUUACAAGCGUGGCUGCCAAUUUGCGCUUACGGCCCCUUCAACCACCACACACAUUCACACUUAGGCAAUGUGGGUUAAGUGACUUGCCCAGGGACACAACAACAGCAUGUGCUCAGAUGAGGACUUGAACCAGCGACCCUCCAGUUGCGAGAUGAGCAUCUACCCACUGUUCCACUGCCCCCCUUUUCUGCUUAAUACUAAAAUUUCCAAAAACAAGGAAGGAAACAUUUAGUCCAUAAAUUGUGUCAUAUAAAAAAAGCAGCUACUUUUGUUUAAUCCUUUAUAUUAGGAGAGGCUGAUAUGAAAUAUAAAUCAGUUUUACUAUGUAUGCAUUAGGUUGUAUUUUUACUUGGGUUGUGUAUUUAGGACUAUUAUAAGCUUUUUUACAUGAUGAAUAAAAAAAAUUUGUUACUAGA